UAGGGAAUUUUGCGCAAUGGACGAAAGUCUGACGCAGCAACGCCGCGUGAGUGAUGAAGGUCUUCGGAUUGUAAAACUCUGUUGAGUGGAAAGAAAAAUUCGGCAUCUAAUCAAGCCGGAUCUGACGGUACCACUCGAGUAAGCCCCGGCUAACUACGUGCCAGCAGCCGCGGUAAUACGUAGGGGGCAAGCGUUAUUCGGAAUCACUGGGCGUAAAGGGAGCGUAGGUGGAAUUAUAAGUUAGAAGUUUAAUUCGUAGGCUUAACCUGCGUGUGGCUUCUAAUACUGUAAUUCUUGAGUAUGAAAGAGGGAGAUGGAAUUCCAGGUGUAGCGGUGGAAUGCGUAGAUAUCUGGAAGAACACCAGCAGCGAAGGCGGUCUCCUGGUUCAAUACUGACACUGAGGCUCGAAAGUUAGGGGAGCAAACAGG
rnacentral:rRNA from 1 species